rnacentral:rRNA from 1 species
CAGCCGCCGCGGUAACACGGAGGGGGCUAGCGUUGUUCGGAUUUACUGGGCGUAAAGCGCACGUAGGCGGACUUUUAAGUCAGGGGUGAAAUCCCGGGGCUCAACCCCGGAACUGCCUUUGAUACUGGGAGUCUUGAGUUCGAGAGAGGUGAGUGGAAUUGCGAGUGUAGAGGUGAAAUUCGUAGAUAUUCGCAGGAACACCAGUGGCGAAGGCGGCCCACUGGCUCGAUACUGACGCUGAGGUGCGAAAGCGUGGGGAGCAAACAGGAUUAGAUACCCCGGUAGUCCCUGUCUCUUAACA